GAUGAACGCUGGCGGCGUGCCUAAUACAUGCAAGUCGAGCGAACGGACGAGAAGCUUGCUUCUCUGAUGUUAGCGGCGGACGGGUGAGUAACACGUGGAUAACCUACCUAUAAGACUGGGAUAACUUCGGGAAACCGUAGCUAAUACCGGAUAAUAUUUUGAACCGCAUGGUUCAAAAGUGAAAUAAGCUCUUUCUGUCACUUAUAGAUGGAUCCGCGCUGCAUUAGCUAGUUGGUAAGGUAACGGCUUACCAAGGCAACGAUGCAUAGCCGACCUGAAAGGGUGAUCGGCCACACUGGAACUGAGACACGGUCCAGACUCCUACGGGAGGCAGCAGUAGGGAAUCUUACGCAAUGGGCGAAAGCCUGACGGAGCAACGCCGCGUGAGUGAUGAAGGUCUUCGGAUCGUAAAACUCUGUUAUUAGGGAAGAACAUAUGUGUAAGUACCUGUGCACAUCUUGACGGUACCUAAUCAGAAAGCCACGGCUAACUACGUG
rnacentral:rRNA from 1 species